rnacentral:lncRNA from 1 species
ACUCCUCUCCUUGCUCCCAACAUAUGAAGAAGGAUGUGUUUGCUUCCCCUUCCACCAUGAUGGUGCAUUUCCUGAGGCCUCCCCAUCCUUGCUGAAUUUAGAUGGUACGUCUCUCCUUCAUGUGCUGCCUGGGGUUGAGGAGAAGUGGCAUAGAGAUACAAGCCUCCUGGGUGAUGAGAAAGACAGAGAAGCAUUUUUCAUAGAGAGUUGCCAGGAUUGCUCAGCAUCCAGAUCAACCAUGAAAGGCACCAGGAGAAUGAACAUCUGCAUUUUUCUUGUCCAUGAUUCUUCUACAUAAUGCUACUGAAGCGAAGAUAAUCUUUAAUUGUAGAAACAAGAAGAGAAGCAAAUAUAUUACUAGUAUCCAGAAGCUCCUUCACAGUUUUCAGAUAAUGCUAAUGAGCUAGUUCCUGGUUUGUAUCACAAACUUCUCCCAAAUUCUUCCCCUAAACAUUCCUUCAUGGUGGAGCUAAUUAGACUAUUGCAGCUCCACCGUUCAUUACUGCUUGUAUUUUGUAAAAAUUAGUGCAUAUGUCAUGGGCCUAGGGAUACAUCCAUUGCAGGGAAAUGGGAGUAGGGCAUUCCCAGUUUUAGCUAUAAUUGAAAAUUAUUCUUAGGGACGAAAAUGCCAUUGAAUAAUUCUGCCUUUUCUCCUCCUUGUUCUCUC